AGAGUUUGAUCCUGGCUCAGGACGAACGCUGGCGGCGUGCUUAACACAUGCAAGUCGAACGGUGAAGGGACUGGUUUUGCUGGUUCUGGAUGAGUGGCGAACGGGUGAGUAACACGUGAGUAACCUGCCCCCUUCUUCUGGAUAACCGCAUGAAAGUGUGGCUAAUACGGGAUAUUCUGGGUCUGUCGCAUGGUGGGCCUGGGAAAGAUUGCGCUUUUUUGGUGUUUUUGGUGGGGGAUGGGCUCGCGGCCUAUCAGCUUGUUGGUGGGGUGAUGGCCUACCAAGGCGGUGACGGGUAGCCGGCCUGAGAGGGUGGACGGUCACACUGGGACUGAGACACGGCCCAGACUCCUACGGGAGGCAGCAGUGGGGAAUAUUGCACAAUGGGCGCAAGCCUGAUGCAGCGACGCCGCGUGAGGGAUGGAGGCCUUCGGGUUGUGAACCUCUUUCGCCAGUGAAGCAGGCCUGCCUCGUUUGUGGGUGGGUUGACGGUAGCUGGAUAAGAAGCGCCGGCUAACUACGUGCCAGCAGCCGCGGUAAUACGUAGGGCGCGAGCGUUGUCCGGAAUUAUUGGGCGUAAAGAGCUCGUAGGCGGCUGGUCGCGUCUGUCGUGAAAUCCUCUGGCUUAACUGGGGGCUUGCGGUGGGUACGGGCCGGCUUGAGUGCGGUAGGGGAGGCUGGAACUCCUGGUGUAGCGGUGGAAUGCGCAGAUAUCAGGAAGAACACCGGUGGCGAAGGCGGGUCUCUGGGCCGUUACUGACGCUGAGGAGCGAAAGCGUGGGGAGCGAACAGGAUUAGAUACCCUGGUAGUCCACGCCGUAAACGUUGGGCACUAGGUGUGGGGGGCCUUUUCCGGGUCUUCCGCGCCGUAGCUAACGCAUUAAGUGCCCCGCCUGGGGAGUACGGCCGCAAGG
rnacentral:rRNA from 1 species